rnacentral:rRNA from 1 species
ACUGCUCGAAAGAGUAGCUAAUACCGCAUGUGGUCUAAGGAUUAAAGCUUCGGCGCUUUGGGAAUGGCCUGCGUUCGAUUAGCUUGUUGGUGAGGAAAUAGCUCACCAAGGCGAUGAUCGAUAGCUGGUCUGAGAGGAUGAUCAGCCAGACUGGGACUGAGACACGGCCCAGACUCCUACGGGAGGCACCAGUAGGGAAUUUUCCACAAUGGGCGAAAGCCUGAUGGAGCAACGCCGCGUGCAGGAUGAAUGCCUUCGGGUUGUAAACUGCUUUUAUAUGUGACGAUUAUGACGGUAGCAUAUGAA